UACUUGAAUUUCAAAGCAGGUGUUACUGAAUCAAUUUGGAAAAAAAAUAAGAAAUAGCUUGAUGUGUUAUGGAAUCCCAUGGAAAUUGGGAACUGUGCCGCAACGGUAAAUAUUGGUGAAGCUUUAUCUGUUUGCCAAUACAAGUCCGACACGUACCUUCAAGCAUAUCCCGUU
rnacentral:ncRNA from 1 species